UCUAAGAAACUUUUCCUAAAACUUUCUCCUUUAUUUCUAAACUGAUCCGAGGAAAGAAAUGAGACGGCGUGGUGACGUCACAGGUCACAUGACCGCAGGUGAGGGCAGAGGUCAGGGCCGACUGCUGCUCACUUUAGCAGAUGGAAACCAGACAUCCCAUAAUGAGUGGACUGUGCUCCGUAACAGGUCGUCUGUCCUUUAGCCCUCUUUAGUUCCUGUUGGCGUCAUUUACUUUGGACCCGUCUAUCACCUGCUCUGCGGUUGGACAGCGACGCCCGGUGGAGCUCAGAGGAACUGCAGUUGCUGGAGGCUUCAGAGAUCAGUACAGUCCCAGCCCCGCCGCCUCGGUCACGGAGACGUUCACAUCACUUCCUGGUUGUUCUGAAUGACACGAACAACAUCAUCAAACAACAAAGCCAUAAAAAUAUCAGACUUGUUUAUUAAAUACUUAAAAUUCCCUGAUUUAAUAUAAAUUUGUUUAUAUUAUUAAUUAUUGGUUAAUUUCAUCCUCUUCUGGUUACAUAUGGUUGUAAUAAUUCCUUUAUAUGAGUCUUUUACAAUGUAAUAUGAAUAAGUUGUUGUUUCCAUUUUGUGUUAUUCUCUAUGAUAAUUUUCAGUUAACACUCUGUAACUGAGGAGAAGGUGAGGACAUCAGGCUGUAUAAAUGUAAAAGUGAAAUUCCUGACAUGGAAUAGUAGAAGCUGAUGUUCACUGAGAGGCGGAUGGGUCAUUCUGUGUGGUUUCACCAGAUGGUGGUUGCUGCACCAUCUUCAAAUUAGUCCUAAAUUUGUAUGCCAUUAGACACUCACAAAAGUACUUUCUAUGCUAAAUUGUAGGCCUGUAGCUCAAAUAGUUUCUGAGUUGUGGGGGUCUGAAAUUUUCAGAAUUUGGGCUAUAAAAAGCCUCGGCAGCGUUUUUUGCAUCUUUAAGUGGUUAUUUGUCAGCCUCUAGACAUACCAGAGAGCUGUGAGUUGGUAAACAAGGCCUCUGCAUGUAGCUAGUGCCCCACAAACAUCCCCAGGUGUUUCCCUACACUCUGCAGGCCGUGGGGGCUUGAUAAAAAUGAUAAAAAUUAAGAGACACCUACUCACGAGUGGAGUUUGGGACCUUUAAAGUACUAGAAAUACUGCACAGAAGUGU